rnacentral:rRNA from 1 species
AGCUCCAAUAGCGUAUAUUAAAGUUGUUGCAGUUAAAAAGCUCGUAGUUGAACUUCUAGUUUUGGCGUCAGCAGGCUUCGGUCGCUGGCGGCAGGGCUAUCCGCUUGGGAACUACGCUCGUACUUCACUGUGCGGCGUAAGGAACAGGCAUUUUACUUAGAAAAAAUAAGAGUGUUCAAGGCAGGCUAUAGCCCUGAAUACACAAGCUUGGAAUAAUGAAAUAGGACAAAAUCCAUUUUAUUGGUUAUUGGUUUUGUAAUGAUUAAUAGGGACAGUUGGGGGCAUUAGUAUUUACUAGUCAGAGGUGAAAUUCUUGGAUUUAGUAAAGACUAACUUAUGCGAAAGCAUUUGCCAAGGAUGUUUUCAUUA